rnacentral:tRNA from 1 species
CGCGACCUGGCUGCUGACCGAGAUUGAUCCCGAUG